CGAAAAGCAUGACCUUCCAUUCUCCAUUGUUUAUUCAAGACUUCAUUCCUCAGAUGAACUUUCAACACAGUCUACAACGAUUCCAGAAAUUAUAGAUGAGGAAUCAAAACAAAUAGCCACAGUUGUAGUUUUUGUAAUAUCAGCUGUCCUAGCAAUAACUUUACUAUUUAUAGCAGCUGUUUUCAUUGAUUGUAGACAAGAAAAAUUAGAAAAACUCCAGGCGAAACCUAUAAAAAGAAAAAUUCCCAAGCUUCGACUUCCUUUACCCAGAAUUGGCCUACCAGUCAGAGAAGAUGAAAAUUCGAUAGUGGACAGAAUAGAAUAUGCCGAACCUUCUUCUUCACAUGUGAUAGUUUAAUCAAUGACUGUAUUUAUUUUGAGAAAUCUGAUUUACUUGAAACGAGAAUUGAAAUUUUGAGCAUAGUGUUUAUGACCAUGUUUACAUGAGAAACAGAUCAAGUGGAACUACACACCUACUUUUAUAAAACUCGUGAAUAACUGUUUGUAAAUUUGGCAUAUUACUGUCAGAAAUAUGAGGUUUUUUCUAAGAAAUGGAAAACUGAGAAAAUACCUUGUGUCAUGGCAGGAAUACUUUCCAGAACUGCCCUAUUUUGACGUCUUUAUUAGUGAUGCAAUAUAUUCAGGAGAAAAAUAAAUGAAAUUGCAGUUG